GCAUCUUCAGUGCUCCAGGGUGUGGACAACUCGCUGGUGGGUCUGCACAACCAGAGCUUUGCCCGGGUCAUGGAGCAGCGCCUGGCUCAGCUGUUCAUGAUGUCCCAGCAACAGGGUCGGCGGUUUAAACGUGCUACCACCUUGGGAAGCUACACUGUGCAGAUGGUGAAGAUGCAGCGAGUGCCAGGACCGAAGGACCCGGCGGAGCUGACCUACUACACGCUGUACAAUGGGAAGCCACUGCUGGGGACUGCAGCAGCCAAGAUCCUGAGCACCAUUGACUCCCAGAGGAUGGCCCUGACCCUGCAUCACGUCGUCCUGCUGCA
rnacentral:lncRNA from 1 species